UACGAAGGGGGCUAGCGUUGCUCGGAAUCACUGGGCGUAAAGGGUGCGUAGGCGGGCUGUCAAGUCUGGGGUGAAAUGCUGCGGCUCAACCGUAGAACUGCCUUAGAUACUGACGGCCUUGAGGAAGGUAGGGGCAUGCGGAACUGUAGGUGGAGCGGUGAAAUGCGUUGAUAUCUACAGGAACUCCGGUGGCGAAAGCGGCGUGCUGGACCUUUUCUGACGCUGAGGCGCGAAAGCUAGGGGAGCAAACGGG
rnacentral:rRNA from 1 species